AUUGAACGCUGGCGGCGGGCCUAACACAUGCAAGUCGAGCGCGCGGCGGACGGGUGUGUAAUGUCUGGGAAACUGCCCGUUGGAGGGGGGUAACUACAGGAAACGGUAGCUCAUAUCGCAUAUCCUAAGGUGUGUCCAGAUGGGAUUAGCUAGAAGGUGGGGUAACGGCUCACCGCGGCGACGAUCCCUAGCUGGUCUGAGAGGAUGACCAGCCACACUGGAACUGAGACACGGUCCAGACUCCUACGGGAGGCAGCAGUGGGGAAUAUUGCACAAUGGGCGCAAGCCUGAUGCAGCCAUGCCGCGUGUGUGAAGAAGGCCUUCGGGUUGUAAAGCACUUUCAGCGGGGAGGCGUUACCCGCAGAAGAAGCACCGGCUAACUCCGUGCCAGCAGCCGCGGUAAUUC
rnacentral:rRNA from 1 species